UGCAUGUGGGCACUGUGAAAAACUAAGCAGUCCACUGUGCAUCUAGAAGCUUCCUAGAGUUUGCCACCUAGUAAACAACAAUCCUUUUGGUGGUUUAAUGUAAGCAACUAUACUUCUUAUGUACCGACCGUCCCUAGAGCAAGUGGUAAAGGGCUUGGUGGUUGAUACUCGAGACCCAAAUUCGAAUUCUAGUUGAUUCAUAUUUCCAGCUAAGUUUAUUUCUAAAUGAAAUAAACGAAGCGGGUAGCGUGCUAUCUAUCUCUCAAAAAAAAAAAAAAAAAAAAAAAAAAAAAAAAAAAAAAACUAUACUUUC
rnacentral:lncRNA from 1 species